rnacentral:rRNA from 1 species
UACGGGGGGGGCAAGCGUUGUUCGGAAUUACUGGGCGUAAAGGGCUCGUAGGUGGCCAACUAAGUCGGACGUGAAAUCCCUCGGCUUAACCGGGGAACUGCGUCCGAUACUGGUUGGCUUGAGUUUGGGAGAGGGAUGCGGAAUUCCAGGCGUAGCGGUGAAAUGCGUAGAUAUCUGGAGGAACACCGGUGGCGAAGGCGGCAUCCUGGACCAACACUGACGCUGAGGAGCGAAAGCCAGGGGAGCAAACGGG